rnacentral:rRNA from 1 species
CAGUAGCCACGGGAAUACGUAGGGUCCGAGCGUUGUCCGGAAUUACUGGGCGUAAAGAGCUCGUAGGUGGUUUGUCGCGUUGUUCGUGAAAACUCACAACUCAAUUGUGGGCGUGCGGGCGAUACGGGCAGACUGGAGUACUGCAGGGGAGACUGGAAUUCCUGGUGUAGCGGUGGAAUGCGCAGAUAUCAGGAGGAACACCGGUGGCGAAGGCGGGUCUCUGGGCAGUAACUGACGCUGAGGAGCGAAAGCGUGGGGAGCGAACAGGAUUAGAUACCCCUGUAGUCCCUGUCUCUUAUAC